GGGAGCCAGUCCCCGCUCUUCAUCUGCCGAUCAGAACCCUAACCCUAGGCAGCAUUCGACCAUCCUUCGGCAAACGCAUGGAUCGCUUCUUCGGUCUCGAUCUGCAAUGGCUUGUAUAGGCUGCUGUGUUUCUUUGAUCGCUAGGGAUUUUUGGAGAUGGCGGAAGGUGCAAAGCUUAUCUACAUUGCGGUGGUGGAUGAUGUGGGGGUGAAGCGAGGAAAGGGAGGAGCCGAUGGUGGGAUGGAGACUGCCUCGUUCCGGUACACGCGACCUGUGUUACAGACCACGCUGCAAUUCAUGGGAUGCAAGGCGAGGCAUGCCUUCAAGAUCAGCCGAAGGGUAUUUGAGGUUCUGAGAACGGAAUAUGUGGCUGAUUGCGUGGAUCAAGAUCAAGAAAUGAAGCGCCUGGGUCAGCAAAGUGCCGAGAUAGCUAACACGAUACCAUUUGAACAGUACAAGAAACUGACAACCAUGGCUUGUAGUAGAGAAAGAUUCUUGAGAGUUAUUUGCGAUGCUUUAUCGGAAUACAAGUAUGUAGGUCCCAACCAGAGGGCUGACCUGAUGCUUGCGUGCAGAAUCCGAGAAAAGAGGGAAUCUGUGACUGUUCUUUUAUGUGGAACAAGUGGAUGUGGAAAGUCUACUCUGUCUGCUCUGCUGGGAAGCAGGUUGGGCCUCACCACUGUAAUCUCUACUGAUUCCAUACGGCAUAUGAUGAGAAGCUUUGUUGAUGAGGAGCAAAAUCCUCUCCUUUGGGCUUCAACUUAUCAUGCUGGAGAAUACUUGGAUCCAAUAGCAGUUGCAGAAGCAAAGGCUAGACGGAAAGCACAAAAACUAGCCGUCUUAUCAUAUCCCAUGGUCAAGGAUGAAUUUUCAGAAGGAAACUCAAAUGGAAAAGCUGAUGGCCAAAUUCCUAUUAGAUUAGCUUCUGUAGAUACGAUUAGCAAGAGGCAAAUGGCCAUUAAAGGAUUUAAAGCACAGAGCGAGAUGGUGAUAGAUAGCUUGGACCGUUUGAUCACAGCUUGGGAGAAUCGAAGAGAAUCAGUUGUUGUGGAAGGAGUCCAUUUAAGCCUCAAUUUUGUGAUGGGGCUAAUGAAGAAACAUCCUUCAAUAAUACCAUUCAUGAUCUAUAUUGCAAAUGAGGAAAAACACAUGGAACGAUUUGCAGUACGUGCAAAGUAUAUGACUCUUGAUCCUGCCAAGAAUAAGUAUGUCAAAUUUAUCAAAAAUAUCAGGACAAUUCAGGACUAUCUGUGUAAUCGGGCAGACAAGCACUUGGUACCUAAAAUUAAUAAUACGAAUGUCGACCGUAGUGUUGCAUUAAUUCAUGCCACAAUCUUUAGCUGUUUACGUAGGCGUGCUGCAGGAGAAUCUCUUUAUGACCCAGCUACUAAUAUGGUGCCAUUAGUGGAUGAGGAGUAUAGAAAUCAAUGUGCUGCUGAUAGCCUAAGUUCUAAGGGAAUGUUCCAAUUAAUUCAGAGGAAAGGUUCUUCCAGGCAUCUCAUGGCCCUUCUUUAUACAGAUGGCUCUGUUGCUAAAACUUGGCCAUUUGAGUUCGCUGAUGGUAGUGUAAAAUGCAUUUCUGCCAAUGGUAAUGAUAAAAUAGUGGGAAUUUCCAUGUAUGGCCCCUUGCAUAUUGGAAAGGCAGAACCAGUUAAUCUCCAGUUUGGUAAUUUUGGAAUCAGUGCCUGGCCCAGUGAUACAGGUGGUACUAGUCAUACUGGAAGCAUCGAUGAGUCGAGGGCUGACGGUACUGAUACUGGCAGUAGAUACUUUUCCUCCUGUUGCAGCUCUCCAAGGCUAUCAGAAGCAGCCGCCAAAGAACUAAAAGAGGAGUUAUCUGUCUCUGGCAGUGAAGAGGCUGAUGAUCACCCUGAUAUUGAUAGUGAUGAGGAUCUAAGUGAUGUUGCUAAGGAUAUUCAUGAUGAGAUGGAAGGCUCGGUUGAGGAACACUCUACCAAGUCUGCUGAAGAGUACGAUGAUCUAGCAAUGCGAGAUGUCUUGGAGGAGGCAGAAUUGAUGGAACAUAACGAGUUAGUUUCUGAUUCGAAACUUUCAAAGCGUUUCAGUUCAGUAAGCAGCUUGCAAGACGAAGAUGAGUACCAGCAGAACUUGGCUGUCACUCACCCACUCAUCUCCAUGAAAGAGGAUACUAUUCUGAGCACAAGCUCAAAUAAGAAGGGCUCCAUCGGUAUUUUAGGGCGGCAUUUGUGAGCAUUUUGGCCCCGGUUAGCUGCCUCUGCGGUUCUCCGGUCUCCUCCCAGUGGCUCUAACGAACCAAAAAGGCUCCGGUUUAGGUGAGAGGCGCCUAAGACUAAGUGGUCAAUGGAUUUUUAGUUCGGUGCACAAUUCAUUUUCAGCAAUUUAAUAUUUGUAGGUUGUUGCUCUCUUGUUUUUUACUCUUUUUUUAUUUACAGCCCAUUCAAUCUUUUUGGUUGUUAAGUAGGUUUAAAAAUUACAUGUUCUGUUAAAUGCCCGUAUGCCCCUAUAUUUUUACCGCUAAAAAAUAAUUAUAAAAUUUGUUACCGCUAAAAAAAUAGUUUUGCUUC